GAUGAACGCUAGCUACAGGCUUAACACAUGCAAGUCGAGGGGAAACGAUAUUGGAAGCUUGCUUCCGAUAGGCGUCGACCGGCGCACGGGUGAGUAACGCGUAUCCAACCUGCCCAUCACUUGGGGAUAACCUUGCGAAAGUAAGACUAAUACCCAAUGACGUCUCUAGAAGACAUCUGAAGGAGAUUAAAAGAUUUAUCGGUGAUGGAUGGGGAUGCGUCUGAUUAGCUUGUUGGCGGGGUAAACGGCCCACCAAGGCGACGAUCAGUAGGGGUUCUGAGAGGAAGGUCCCCCACAUUGGAACUGAGACACGGUCCAAAACUCCUACGGGAGGCAGCAGUGAGGAAUAUUGGUCAAUGGACGAGAGUCUGAACCAGCCAAGUAGCGUGCAGGAUGACGGCCCUAUGGGUUGUAAAACU
rnacentral:rRNA from 1 species